GACGAACGCUGGCGGCGUGCUUAACACAUGCAAGUCGAACGGAAAGGCCCUGCUAUUGUGGGGUGCUCGAGUGGCGAACGGGUGAGUAACACGUGAGUAACCUGCCCUUGACUUUGGGAUAACUUCAGGAAACUGGGGCUAAUACCGGAUAGGAGCUCCUGCUGCAUGGUGGGGGUUGGAAAGUUUCGGCGGUUGGGGAUGGACUCGCGGCUUAUCAGCUUGUUGGUGGGGUAGUGGCUUACCAAGGCUUUGACGGGUAGCCGGCCUGAGAGGGUGACCGGCCACAUUGGGACUGAGAUACGGCCCAGACUCCUACGGGAGGCAGCAGUGGGGAAUAUUGCACAAUGGGCGGAAGCGUGAUGCAGCAACGCCGCGUGCGGGAUGACGGCCUUCGGGUUGUAAACCGCUUUCGCCUGUGACGAAGCGUGAGUGACGGUAAUGGGUAAAGAAGCACCGGCUAACUACGUG
rnacentral:rRNA from 1 species